UUGAUGUCAAUCCUUUUAAAGAAGUUCCUUUAUACAGAAAUGAUUACAUUCAAGCAUACAAGAAUAAAUUCCUUGAGACCCCUCAUGUAUAUGCAAUUGUAGAAACGUCCAUCCGAGAAAUGACAUGAGAUGGAUUAAAUCAAUCUAUCAUCAUAAGGUUGAUGUUCUUUUUAUUUCCUUUUUCAUUCUCCGACUAUUUUAUAUGGCUGACCAAUUUUAUUUAAGUUACAUCCUAUACCAAUGUCUCAUUAUUUGUUAUAUUGAGAAUGAAAAUCUAGCAACAUGAUUUGAUGGUUCUUGAAUGAAAAUAUCAUAGGUUGCCUAAAAAAAUAAUUGUUUCUCUUUUGGAUAUAAAGAUGAUUUGUUAUGUAGCUCUACUUUCUGUUGUGAUGUGGAUGACCAAAUGCUAAGAAGUUCAUGGUUUAUCGGAUGCUAUGACUAUGGGCGUGCAUGCCAACUUUUUAUGCUUAGCACUUUUAUUGAGUCAGAAUGGGCAACAUUAAGAUGUAAAAGGGGAGUAUAGUUGUUUAACGGUUACUCUUAACUUCACUGCCUAUUUAAGUAGGUGUUAUGGGUAUUAACUUACUUAAGGUUUAGGAUGUCUAUGUGGUGAGAGUGGAGCAGGAAAAACUGAGACAACAAAGAUAACAAUGCAAUAUUUAGCUGCUCUUGGAGGUGGGAAUGGAAUAGAGUAUGAAAUAUUAAAGACCAUUCCCAUCUUAUAAGCAUUUGGUAAUGCAAAGACAUUAAGAAACGAUAACUCGAGCAUAUUUGGAAAGUUGAUCAAAAUCCACUUUAGUGAGACUGAAAAAAUAUAUGGGGCA